AUGUCCAAGAGGGAACCCCAUUUUCUAUGUAAGAAUAUGCCAAUAUCUUAAUCUAGUAGAUUUUAAUAAGUUCUUUGGAAAUCAUGAUGCAUCAAAUCAAAGCACUUGAAUAAAACCUACUCUGACCCACUUUCCAUAGGAAAGGCUGAAUGCUCCUGGCACUAAUCCAGUCUGAUAGGGGGUCAGUGUGUUUGAAGUUAACCAUCUGUCCAGAAAAUCUUGAACCCUGACCUGAUUGUUGUGUUGUAACUGGGUCUUACACUGAAUUUUCAUAAUGUAAAGUGUAGAAUUAGUAUCUUUUUUUACUGUAUUUUCUCAGUGUUACUGUAAUGCAUUUCUAUUAAGUGUAUCAGAUUAAUUAUUUAGAAAUAUCUGAACAGGUGAAAAAUAGUAGUUAUUAAAUAGAUUAGCAAUAUCGUAAAAAAAUGUAAAAAAUAUGGGUUUAGUGGAGAUUUUUUUGCAUUUAUCUUGAUGUGUGUUUUUGUACCUGAAGCAAAAUGCCAUUGUAAAUUUUAUAGUUCUUAUGUGGCUGGAGAUGUCUGUGUGUGAAUAAAUCGAAUGUCCUAAUGCUCUGCUUUAUGCACAAUGAAGAAUGUGAUUGAAGUUGUAUGUAAAAGGAGAAUUAUUCUUAUCCUAAUGUUCAAGCAAGUGUUGUAAAAGUGUCUGGUGAGAAGUAGGUUGACAAGACACAGUAAGAGUACAUGUUUCACUGUAGUCUGAGGUGGAAUAAUGCAACCUUAUUCCUGAAGUGUUGAACAAAUUCAAAACCCAGAUCCACAAAUUUGAAUUCCAAAUCAACGUUCCACAAAUUUGUAGAUGUGGUUUUUUGUUUUUUCAGUUUCAAGUAAUUUUUCAUCUCCACUGUAAUGUUGCUCCCCAGACCUUCUGCAUGCUUGUCAGCAGGCUCUGCUUUGCCUCCCUCAUGCCUAGAACUGUCUUUUGCUUUUGAUGCUUUUUUCUUGUACUCAGGUGUUUGUUUUCCCUCUGACUUAACUUGUCACAAAAAAAGUCACCUUCUCUAUGCUAAUUUUUCUAGUAAUGUGCAUUUGUAAAAAUUCUGUUGAAUGAGAGCUUUGCAGUGCAGUGGAGAAAAUUACCCACAAAGAAGCUUUCUGUAAACAAUCCCAUGUUUUUUUAAAAACCACAAGUGCUAUUAUGGGCUAAACUGUGCUCACACACUGAGGGCAGAUUGUAAUUAUUCUACCAGGUCUUGAAAAUUAGAACGUGGUGCAAGCUCAGGAAAAAAGUAUUCCUUUGCUUAGGAUGGGAUAAAUCUAAGGGAAUUAAACAGUGUAUGUUGCCGAAAGCCGUCAUGGUAUUUUACAACCAUUUCUGAAAAAAAUUUUAAAACUGGGAGAUAAAAGCAUGAUCUCCCAGGAGCAGGUUUUUUAUGGAAAAGCAAAUGGAUAAUCCAACUUUUCUUUACAGUGUUAAAAUAAUUAGGCUUUGAGUAUUUCCUUUGCUGGUGGUUUUAGGGAUGAUUCCUCAAGAGCAAUUCAUGCCAGUCUUCAAAUUGCUGAGAAAGGAGGUCCUCAGACAGGGUUUUCCUGGAUGGAAGAUGGUUUGUACAGAAGUUUUUUGGUUUUGUAUUUUAAGCCCUCCAUCCUGUCAUUUUGGUUGAGGUGGCUUUACCAUGGGCUUUGUGUAUAAAAAGAUUAAUUUUGAUAAUAACAUCUGGAACUCCCCACUAUGAAACUCAUCUGAAUAUUCAGAUGGUCUGUGCUACAGCUCUUGCAUGUGUGAAUUAUGCAAAAAAGCACACUAAAUGUGCAAAGUAGGCUCUUAAAAGGGAAAAAAAAACCCAGUUGCUUUUUAAGCAUUCUUGUCUAAGUGGUUGUUUAACAAGGUCCUCUACUUCUGCAUUCUUUGCUGGGGAUUCUUUUGUGUAGACAGACUGAAUAAAAUAAUGUUAACCCACACAAAAUAAGGGUCACUGCUGUGAGAGUCACAGGAGAUCCAUUGCUGUUUCAGCUUCACUUCUUGAAUAGUUUAUGUAUAAUUGUCUGCAGCAGGGAUUUUUCUGUCUGGAUUGAAAAGAUUCACAUACACAAAAACUUUUAGUGAUGUGAGCUAUGAUUUCAGGGAUUUGCCUGAAGAAUUUGUCUCAGAGAAUUCAAGGCUGACAAAGAUUCAAAGAGUAUCUAUACUUCUGGAUGUGCUUAUUUUUAAUCAUAAUAAUUUACUGAAUAACUGUAUUUGUAUUAUAAAAGAGCAAGUGUUCUUCUGUAGUGAUUGGUGUAAGAAGCAGUCCAUGCUUUUAGAGCAAUUGAAUGAAAGAGAAGGUAAUUUCCUAUUUCGAGAUUUUGAGUAUCACUGCAGCUAAGUUUUAUAGAUUUUUGCAGAGGAAAGAAACAAAUGUAGGUACAUACACCCACAUACAUGUAUUUAUCUCUAAGGUUAAUAAAUAUAAAUAUAACUACCAAAUGAUAACAUGUUAAAAAAUUAAAAUAUUUAAAAAUGGUUAUCUAUGUAUUUUUUAAAUGAAAUAGAGUGAAAUAGAGUAAUCUUUUUUAGUUUGGAUCUUGUUCCCAUGCUUGAAAUUUUGGAUUUUCCCAGAUUUGUGUGUCUGCCCCUCUGUGUGCCUUCAUACCAGACCACAAAUAUCUAAAUCACUGGUUUUUAACCCUUCCUAGGUCUGACAAAGCCCCCCCCCUCCACUGCCCAAUAUUCCAGUAAAUAAAAGUCAUGGACUUGGUACCUCUGCAGCUGCCAAGGGCUCCUCCCGUGUUUCCAUCAAGCACACAUCGUCUGCAAAGCACGAGGUCUUACCAGGGAGGUUUUGUAGUUACUGCUUUCACAAAGGACUCUCAGAUCCUCCACUGGUCUCACUCAAAGAUUAGAAAUGUUCAUCAAGGCACCACUUGGACCUGUGCUUGUCAUUCACAGCUUUCCCCUCUCUGAGCCCCUCCACUGUGAUCUUGGCACCGAGGGAGAGCUGAAACACCAAGCAGAGCUCUGCUCUGCCUGCUGUGCCUAGGGGCAUGAGUGUGGCACUGGAAAUGCUGAAAGAUGGAGUUUUCUUUUGUCAAGUGGCACAGUAUGAGCACGUUCCUUGUUUGAAAUAUACAUUUGGACUGUGCAUUCUGAAGUGCACUCUGUCUUUCAAGUCACAGGGCCAUUGCCCUGCCACAGGCAGUGGCUGUCAGUAACUAGUGGCAUUCAAACUAAAUUUAAAAUGUCUGUUUUGUCCAUUUGUUUUUAUUGCUAGAGGGCAAUUUUAUUUAGAUUAAAAAACUUCAGUAACUGUAAUUAUUACCUUGAGAAUUUUGUAUAUUCACUGAAGAAUGGAAACACCAGCUGAUGCCUGAAGCACUAGUUAAAAGAAUAUUAUCUUGCCCAUGCAAAUUCUGCUAGCCACACAAGUAUUUAUCUACAUGGUUUUUGUGUGUGUAAAUUAAUAAUUGUGUUCUUAAAUCAUGCAUAAAAUAUAUUUAAAAUUAUUCCAGCAGUGAUGGCACAGUCAAAAUAAGUGUUUCUGGUAUUUGGGACACUUAAGCAGCAGAUAUAACUUGCAAUUAGGGUUUUUAAAAAGUCCUUGAUGAAUUCAGUGUGCUUGAGAAGUGAUGCCUUUGCCAUGCUUCCAAGCUGUGCCAUACAGAUGAGGGAGGAGUCCCACUCCAGGCUGUCAGUGCUGUGGGAGCCCUGCAGGUUUCCUCCCAUCCGAGUCAGGAGCACUUUGGCUACCUGAGCCAAAGUGACUCCUUCCCAGUAAUUUGUUUUUGGCCUGAGGAAGAUGUCUCCAGUGAGAUAUUAAUUUUCCUAUUGGUUUUCCCCCCUCCUUUUCAUUCUUUUUUCCCUCUUUGCAUUUUGUGGACUGUGCCCGUGGAAGUGAAGCCUCUCAGACUCACAGCUCUGCUUCAUGCCACAGUAAAACACAUCCCAUCUCUCUUUGCCUUUUGUCGUGCGCGGGACAGAGCGCUCCUGGCUUUGGGAAGCUUUUGCUGAGCACUGCUCCUGUCCCUCUCCUGAGUCACUUUGGGUGCCUUCAGCUCUGCAAAGCAGUUCACAUGCAGAUAACAAGGUAAAAGCAAUUGUUCAUUGGCUUGUAUGUGCAAAAGACUGCUUUGCUCCAGGUGUGAAGGCUACUCACAUUACUGCCAAGUACAUUUAUUUUUAUAGCACAAAGAAUGAUUGAGUUCCUGUAGGAGAUUCUACUAGCAGUACUUUAUUUAAGAACAAAUUUUAGCUUUAGGAUUUACCAUAAAUACUUACAUAAUUUAUUUUCAGAAUUUUGUUUGUCAAGAAGUUAUAUGCAGUAUUUAUUUUUUCCUACAGUCUGUAGCUCAUGAUUCUUUACUUAACACUGAUACUUGAGCAUUAUUUUUCUGAAAAGUAGAUCAGUAUCUUUCAAUUAGGACCCUUUUGCUUUUUUGUUACUGUGUCCCCUAAAAGGAUGAGCUGUUCCACGGACAGACUUCUUGUGGAUUAAGUGGAAAUCUGAAAAAGGUUAUGAGAUGGCUUUUAGAAAGAAUAUCCAUUUUUGUUCAACACAUUUUCAAGUAAAGAUCAAAAAAUCAUUGGUAGCUCUUCCAGUCACUGAAGUGAAGAGGUUGAGAUGUGCAGGACUGCCCCAGAGCUACUUUUGCACUUAACUCAGGCUGCACUAUUGCUGAGACUGAGUGUGACACACCUUUGGAAAGAGGGGUUUUCAGUCUUUGUCCAACAGUUUGCAGAUUCUCUAAUGUGACUUCAAGUUCCCCCACUGGAUUUCCACAGGUACAGGUAGUUUUAGAGUGGCAUUUCUGAUAGACUAAUACUUGGUUUUCUUGCACAAAAUGAAAGAAAACUAAGUGUGUGAUAUGGAAUAUCCCUUUGGCUGAUUCAGGUCAGCCAUCUCAGCUGUGUCCUCUCCCAGCCUCACUGCAGGCAUGAUCAUUGUUUCAUAUUAAUUUAUGCACAAAAUUCUUGUCACUUUAUAGCUGUGUUUUUCCACUUGAUUUUAAAUUCCAUCUUCUUCACAAUUUCUGUGAAGUCAGUACCCUCUGAAGUCUAUGUGUCACUAAAUGCAUGCCAUAACUCUGAAAUAUUAUCUGCAGUGCAGCGACACCUAAAGCUGCUGGUCAGUGCUUGUUGGGGUCACAAUUAGCUGAAGCACCUGCCUCAGCUUGAUGACUAUUGUCAUUAAAUCCUCCAAAACAAAUGCUCUUGAAGAUAAAUGAUUACAUCAAUAUUAAUGUGUUUAAGACUAAUUCCAGAAUGCAAGUUUAGUUCAUUUUAGGGAAUAAUGUAAUGCAGAUGCAAUUUUCUAAAUGUGCCUUUAAAAAAAGCAUUGUACUUUUUCCCCAUAGCUUUUAUUUUGUGAUACAGAAUGAUUUGUGCAUUUUGCACGGUGGGGCUUUCAGCUUCUGCUGAGCUCCUUGACUGUCUCUUACUUGAACGGAGUUAGAGAGGGGUGAAUUAAAAAAAAUUAUACUACAUUAAAAAAGAUAAAAAUAAAAGAACAAGUAAGAUCUGGAGAGCACAAUUUAUAAGAUUAAAGGAAAUUUAACAACUUCUCAAAUAUAUGAAAAAAACUACGAGAGGGAAGUCAACAAAAUGUUUUCCAUGAUACCCAAAAGAAAAAAAAAUCCAAUAUUCAAAUAGAAUCAAAAAAAGUUCAGGUUGUAAAGGGAAUGUAUCUUGUCUGAAACACUGAAAUAGGUUGUCCAGUAAUGAUUUGCCAUCUCCACUUGACAUGAAUAUGCCAGAUUUCCAAGUACUGUACCAAAAUUUCACAUGCUACCCGCAGUUUUACUGGUCAGUAUUGAUCUGUAAAAGAGGUUUCUUCUAAAAAGUUGCCUGUGCAGUACCACUGCUUUCAAACUGCUCUGUGUGGAGUAGCAGAAAUAGAGUUUCCUUGGAAUUUGGUGCAGAAAUACCUUGGAUUCUAGGUUUUACCAAUGUAUGGAUCAUUUUCCACAGCCAAGGAGUGCAGUGUUACUCAGCCUGGAUAGUAAGUGAUUGAAUGCUGUUCAAACCAGACUCAGUGAGAGUAGAGAUUUAGAGACAUGGCUUGGAUGAGCUGGGUGAUUUCUCAGGGUCCCUCCUUACCUGUUCUUCACAACUAUGUAAACACAGAGAUUGUAAACUUUAAAAAUUUGUUUUGGAAUGAAGAACAAAAGCUUCAGAAAUUAGCUAGGUUUUUGUCUAUUACCCUGCUGAUCUAGAUUAUUAAUGGUCAGCCCCUUUACUGGGUCUUUUUUUCUUUACAGGUCUGUUAACAAACUUGGAUAAAACCACUUUUUUCCCCAUUUACCAAGAAGUUUGUCAUUAUGUUUGUCUUAGAGCUUAAAUGUCUGGUUAUUUCUGAGGUUCAGACUAUAUUUAAUAUUAGUAACAGUGAAUCACAGGAUAAAUGCAUUUAUUUUCUUCUGUGACCUUAAAAAUAUGCAGCAUCUGUUGCUCAAAAGCAGGUGUGGGCACAGUUGUGUGGAGUUCUAGAAAUCACUCAUGUUAAGGAUCCGUAUGUGUUGUUUAUGCAUUUAUGUUUAUAUUGAUAGGAUUUCCCUAAAGUUUGAUCAACUAAAAUGAAUUCAAAACAACAAUAGUUUAUUUUUAAAAUAUAAACAAUGAUUUCAUAGGAAAACAAAUCUUUGCAUUAUGUCCUAUCUCAUGAGAAAUAUGUGUAAUGAAAAAGAUGGAUCUUAAUUUUUACAUUUUUUCUGUACUAAGUUUUGCAAUUGUUUUGAAUGAAUCAGUUAUUUAAUAUUAACUUAGAUUCCCUUUUUAAAACAAAAUAAAAAUUCAAGACUGUCAGGCAGACUUUAAAGUAAAUUCAAUGCCUUCUUCCCCGCAUCUGAUCCUCUGAAUGAGACUUUCAUUAUAAAUCAGCCAAAUCAGAAGUUGUUUUUCUAAGAGAGACAAAAUACCCAGUUACUUUGCUCUGUUCUUCUCUAUUCUCCAUAGCAAAUUCCUGGCAGGUUUUGCCAGUGCAAUUUAAAAUAAGGGAGGGGAAAAGACAGUAAGUAGGAGGUCACAGGGAAAAUGAGAGGACUUUUUAUGGGAAGUGGAUUUAGCUGAUGUGAGGUGUUGGCAGGUGAGGGCUGUGCCUGGCUGACACUGGCUGCAGCUCUCUGGGGACUCAGCUUGGCUUGGCCUGGCCAGGUUUGCCCAGGAAUUUGGGGUGGCUGGGGAGGGCCAGGCCCACUCCCCAGAAAGGCACCCACUGUCCCCUGCAGUCCUGGGCUGUUCCAGGCCCAGCUCCAGCGUGUGCUGCUUUUCCACUCCUCAGCUGGGUGAGGUUUUCAGCCCCUUUAUUCCCAGCUGAAUCCUGCAGUGACACCACUGUCACCUGUGGGAAGCAGCAGGAACUGGGUUCUUCUGUUUUAACUUGCAGCUUUAGCAGCAUUAUGUUUUACUCCUCAUUUAUUGUCCUGUCUGGAGCUGUUUCCUGAUGAGGAAUACAAGAAUAAUAAUGGGCUGUGUAAAUUAGAUCCUAAAGCUUGUUCUCUACUCAGACAUACGUAAGACCAGACACAUGCAAAGAAUUUAUAUUUGUUUAAAGCACAUUAGAAAUGUAUGAUAAUGGCUUUUACAGGUUUCUGAAGUCUGGAGAUUUUGUCAAGAUAAACACUGCAACAAGACUCAUGUGCCAGCCUGGAAGAAGUGUUCAGUGCAGACUCUUCCCUGAGUGCUGAAUGAAUCUUUGCCACAAUGACUAAGGAUUGUUAGUAUGGGAACUAGCUAAUCUGCUUUUAUUCCUGAUGGGAACACACAAGAGCAUUGCUGGUUGUUAAGGGUUUGUCAUUAGUGCAGAGCAAAAUAAAAGUAAUUUUUACAAAACACCCUAA